CAGUCGCCGCGGUAAUACGAAGGGGGCUAGCGUUGUUCGGAUUUACUGGGCGUAAAGCGCACGUAGGCGGAUCCUUAAGUCAGAGGUGAAGUCCCAAGGCUCAACCUUGGAACUGCCUUUGAUACUGGGGAUCUCGAGUUCGGGAGAGGUGAGUGGAACUGCGAGUGUAGAGGUGAAAUUCGUAGAUAUUCGCAAGAACACCAGUGGCGAAGGCGGCUCACUGGCCCGAUACUGACGCUGAGGUGCGAAAGCGUGGGGAGCAAACAGGAUUAGAUACCCCGGUAGUCCCUGUCUCUUAUAC
rnacentral:rRNA from 1 species